CAGUCGCCGCGGGAAUACAGAGGGUGCGAGCGUUAAUCGGAUUUACUGGGCGUAAAGCGUGCGUAGGCGGCUUCUUAAGUCGGAUGUGAAAUCCCUGAGCUUAACUUAGGAAUUGCAUUCGAUACUGGGAAGCUAGAGUAUGGGAGAGGAUGGUAGAAUUCCAGGUGUAGCGGUGAAAUGCGUAGAGAUCUGGAGGAAUACCGAUGGCGAAGGCAGCCAUCUGGCCUAAUACUGACGCUGAGGUACGAAAGCGUGGGGAUCAAACAGGAUUAGAUACCCCAGUAGUCCCUGUCUCUUAUAC
rnacentral:rRNA from 1 species